rnacentral:rRNA from 1 species
CCUACGGGUGUCAGCAGUGGGGAAUAUUGGGCAAUGGGCGCAAGCCUGACCCAGCCAUGCCGCGUGAAGGAAGAAGGCUUUCGGGUUGUAAACUUCUUUGACAGGGGAAGAGCAGAAGACGGUACCCUGAAAACAAGCCACGGCUAACUACGUGCCAGCCGCCGCGGUAAUACGUAGGUGGCAAGCGUUGUCCGGAUUUACUGGGUGUAAAGGGCGUGUAGCCGGGAAGGCAAGUCAGAUGUGAAAUCCGGAGGCUCAACCUCCGAAUUGCAUUUGAAACUGUUUUUCUUGAGUACUGGAGAGGCAGACGGAAUUCCUGGUGUAGCGGUGAAAUGCGUAGAGAUUAGGAAGAACACCAGUGGCGAAGGCGAUUCUCUGGACUGUAACUGACGCUGAGGCUCGAAAGCGUGGGGAGCAAACAGGAUUAGAUACCCGUGUAGUC